UUGGCUGCAUAGAUGUCUUCUUUUGAGAAGU
rnacentral:piRNA from 1 species